UUCAAGGUUUAUAUUGGUAUAUACAUGUUAAGAAAUCGACCGGAGGUCUUUAAAUCAAUUAUAAGAGUCUAUAACCAUUUAGAAAGUCUUAAUAAACAAUAUAUAAGAGUUAAUAGAAUAAUUUUUAAGGGUUUAUAAAUGUAUGUAAAUAAUUUAUAAGAGUAUAAAAUAUUUAUAAAAGCAAUUUAUAUAUAAGUGAACCAGUUAGAGAUGAACAUCUACAUGGACAUUAUUUUUUGCUCCCCUUUGUAGUUCUUUUGGUCAUAUGAGUGAUUGCACAAAAUCUGAC
rnacentral:lncRNA from 1 species